UGCAUGGCCGUCGUCAGUUCGUACUGUGAAGCAUCCUGUUAAGUCAGGCAACGAGCGAGACCCACGCCAACAGUUGCCAGCUCGGUCCUCCCGGGGAUGGUGGGGACGACUGUUGGGACCGCCUCUGCUAAAGAGGAGGAAGGAAUGGGCAACGGUAGGUCAGCAUGCCCCGAAUUAUCUGGGCUACACGCGGGCUACAAUGGGUGGGACAAUGGGUAUCGACACCGAAAGGUGAAGGCAAUCUCCUAAACCCAUCCGUAGUUCGGAUUGUGGGCUGCAACUCGCCCACAUGAAGCUGGAAUCUGUAGUAAUCGUGUCUCAAAAUGGCACGGUGAAUAUGUCCCUGCUCCUU
rnacentral:rRNA from 1 species